rnacentral:lncRNA from 10 species
CUUUAAGUUUGCAGGCAAACGUCUGAAUCAUCCGUUUGAAAGAAGUGGCAGGAAAACAGGGAGCCCAGUCUGCCAGGUGGGAGAGAUACCUCUAAGUUCUUAUCUCUGGCCACUGGCUUGAGCCAUUUGCAUGUGGUGUAGAACUGGAAACUGUGUCCAGGAUGACUGAGCCCUGCUUCUGAUAAUAUUAGGAAAUGUCUAAUCUCCUCCAAGAGAAAAGAUAUUGGCCUGGAUGAAAAUGCAAAGAGUUUGUGGUCCUAGGAGAAAGAAAAUUCUAGAAGAGAAGAGAAAGGCCUGCAUGUGAGGAGGUACCCUUGAGAGAUGUGUACCACAGCAGUGGCUACUGCUUGAAGAUGUCCAUGAUUUUGGGAGCAGUACCCAACUGAUGUUGAAGAUGUCCAUGAUAUUGGGAACAGUACCCAACUGAGUUUAAAGAGGACAGUUGUCCAGUUGUCCUGCUUGUAGCCACCCAGCAUCACUGGAACACCUUCCUUUUUUCUACCUUGGAAUUUUCCAUCAUUUAAAAUCCACCUCCUGAAGGUAGAAGGCAGAGCUCACCUUCCUGGUCUCUCCAACAGCUGGUGCUCAGGCCUCUGAGCUAGGCUUUGGGUGAUAUGGGUUUCUUCUGUUUGUCCCUCCAGAUCCACUCUCCACCAUUCUCUACCUUUCCUGUCCUCCAGGAGGCUGACUUGGAUGGACUACAUCACCAAGGUUUCCUUGUCUCUUGCUUCUGGUUGGGUUUGGCCAAUGGCAGCAAUGGCAGGCAGUUGGAGAGUGGGAGGGGAGUGCAGUGGGGACAUUAACCCCCAGCUCCAUCUAUGCUGAGCAGUGUUCCUACUGUUGUUACAUUUCUAUACCUAAGAGCCCAGCUUGGGAAGGGAAGCUGUCACCAGGUUCCAGAAUAGCUCCUUUCCCUUGGCCCUUCAGAUCUAGGUGCAGUAAUGUUUUCCCCCUGUCGCUAGUUUUUGGGUGCUUUACCAUCCUUUCCCACACCAUUGCAAACAGCCCCCCUAAUAAACUUUCUGAAAGUAUCUUUCUGAGUGUGUCCUCUUUUUCCUGCUUGAUUCACUUUGUUCAUCAGAUCUUUGCCAAACCUUUACCCAAAAGCUUGUGACAGAAUAGAGCUGGAAUAACAUGAUGGUUAAUUGUAUGUGUUGACUUGGCUGGGCCAUGGCAUCUAGAUAUUUGGUCAAACUAUCUAGAUUCUGGAUGUUUUUAUAAAGGUGUUUUUGAAUGUGAUUAAUAUUUAA